rnacentral:lncRNA from 1 species
AAGCUUUCUGCCAGUGCCUGAAGGCAGGGCACCAUCUUGUGGCAUGAAAGGAGUUUGUCUGCAUGUCUGUAGAAGAGCAGUCCCGAUUUUUCUCCGCUAGGUAGAGCCUGGUAGUUUCUGACCUUUUUUUCUUGCAGCCCUGCUUGUCUUCCGGGGCUUUAACGCCCUCCGCGACUUUCCCUACCUGCCCCCAGUACUUGUUUCUCCCCAAGUGCUGAGACCACCGCUUGCAGUGAGGCUUGCGUUGACAAACUUGGCCAGCUCCGUGUUGUUCUCGUACUGGGAGGGUUACAGAGCUGCACAUGGAAUUGCCCCAGGACAGGGUCUGUUAGGCCCUCAGGACCGUUGGAGGGCCAACAGAUAUGUGAGCCUGCUGCUCCCAUUUGCCAGGCCUGUGCGUCUGGAUUGUGGAUAUGCUGAUCCCCAAGCAAGGAGGAGCAAUGGUGUAGAGCUGAGAACCAGCUGUCAAGCCUGGUUUUGAGCUGCU